CCAUCCAUCCAUCCGUCUAUCAUUUACACAUCUGUUUUUAUCUAUCGCUCUAUCUCUCCAUCCAUCCAUCCAUCCGUCUAUCAUUUACAUAUCUGUUUUUCCAAAUUGGAAUGAUUGACUGUUAUGAAAGAAGAGAGCCAGUUAGUAAGCGGGAAGCACUUGGUUUUAGUCUUGGUUUUUAAACAUCAUAGACUAACCUGCUGUGGAGUCCUGAUAAGUAAGCAACAAUGAGGAGGGGGGCCCAGGGAGGGGAGCACAACUGUUCCAAGAGACAGCUAAUCACAAACGAGCCGCUGGCACGACUACCUCUCUCCGAGUGUAGCGUCUUCCAGCGUGACCCUGUAAAACUUCCGUCUAGCCCCUGCCUCUUUCCAGACAGCCCCUUCUCUGCUGUGCUGCUCGUUGCAAGGAAGCAACGUACUUUCUCUUGAAUAAUCUGCCUUUCUUUACCUACAACUGUCUUGGCAAAUAGAUAAAUUCUUUUUUUUUUUUUUUUUUUUUUGAGACGGAGUCUCACUCUGUCAUCCAGGCUGGAGUAUAGUGGCGCGAUCACGGCUCACUGCAAUCUCUGCCUCUCGGGUUCAAGCCAUUCUCCAGUCUUAACUUCCCGAGUAGCUGGGAUUACAGGCAUGUGCCACCACGCCCAGCUAAUUUUUGUAUUAUUAGUGGAGUCAGGCUUUCACCAUGUUGGCCAGGCUGGUCACAAACUCCCAACCUCUGGUGAUCUGCCCACCUUAGCCUCCCAAAGUGCUGGGAUUACAGGCAUGAGCCACAGCGCCUGGCCGGUAAAUUCUUUUACCACCCACAACACCGGCCCCAGCCAGUUGCACCCAUGACACAGCACCAUUGGAAAAAUGGUCCCUUUGCUCUGUCACAAUGUUUAGACUAGUCUGUACUAAAGAUGGUCUAAGACUAAACACACAACUUAAAAAUCCCAGAUAAGCUUUAUUUGAAUAUUUCACAAACAAGUUACACAUUUCUUUGCAACUACAUAGUAAAGCAAAGUUUAGUUUACAGGUCAGAAACUGUAAGCGGUUCAGCAAUGAGGGUCCAAAGGAGGGACAUCUGCCAUAGAGUGAAUAUCUGAACAUGAUUAACUUUUAAUCUCUUUUGAGUGUUUAUUUAAAAAAAAAGCAUUUACACUUUCUUUAAAUGUGUAUCUGGGGGGAUAGAAUUUCAUCAUCAGGACGGUGUUGACAUGUGCAUUGACAACACAGAUUUUUAAAAUGUAGACUUAUUUUUAACUCUUACUAGUCUGAAUUCACGUACACGUUAGGUAUAGAAUGGCUUUAUUACUCUCUAAAGAAAAAGCUUUUUAAAAAGUAGCAGAAAAUAGCUUCCAACUUCUUUUCAUAGUGAUUCUAUAAACCUCUUUCUCCAACUCUUCAUAACUUCAGAGUGAAAACCUCCCUAGUCCUACUCUAACCAAAGCAUUUCACCAUCUCCCUAGUGACCAGCCGGCACGUGGAAAGUCAAAUAGAGUGGUUCAGAGGCUGAUCCAGCUCAGCAACCCUCCAACGGCAGAUGUGAUGACAGCAACGUAGCAUGAGACAGACGAAGUUUUUCUGCUUAAUUUGCUGAGUAUCUAAAUUAUUUCUGCUCAAAUUAUAGACUAACUCUUUAAAUUAUGUAAUUGAAGUUCUUAUCCAAAACCCUCAUCCACACGUCCAUUCCCACCAGUUUUCACCGUGUCUCUCUAUCAUGUAUAUGCUUUCCUAUGGACUCAGUCACCACUGCAGAAUGUUUUCAGUAGUGGGCUAACCUGUUAGCAAUAGGAAAUAUAGUCAGGGUAACACACUGGAUGUAGUAAAAUAAUUGUUAAUUGAAUUAGAUGAACAAUUUAGAAAACAUUUUAUCAUUAGAUGACUAUGAAACGUAUCAAUUCUCAACACUUAAGGAGAGAAGAGGCGAGUCUUUAUGAAAGAUGUAGCAGGAUUAGUAGAUUAUUCAUUUUAGUAUUUGGUAAAUGGAAAAGGUAGGUGGCUUUUUGAGUGCUUGGGGUUCUUGUUGGUGUGAUUUACCCUGUUGAUUCAUGUUUAAGGCAGCUACGCAUAAAUAGAUUAAUGUGCUAGCUUUAUAAAGUCAGAAACUACUUAGAGAGCCUUUAGAAUUUGCCUGUUUGCAUAAUUCAUAACUAAGCACAGUGCAAGCCCUUCGAGAUCCCACCCCACUUUCUCCCCAUUUUCUCUCCCCUCAGUUGGUUUGGUAGGGAGUGGGUACUCUGGAGUUCAUAAAUUUCCUUUUUUUUUUUCUGAUGAAGUCUCACUCUGCUGCCCAGGCUAUAGUACAAUGGCUCACUGUGACCUCUGCCUCCUGGGUUCAAGCAAUUCUUCUGCCUCAGCCCCCUGAGUAGCUGGGAUUACAGCUGCCCAUCACCACGCACAGCUAAUUUGUAUUUUUUAGUAGAGAUGGCGUUUCACCAUUUUGGCCAGGCUGGUUUUGAACUCCUGACCUCAAGUGAUCCACCUGCCUCUCCCUCCCAAAGGGCUAGGAUUACAGGCAUGAGCCACCAUGCCAGGCUACUUUUGAUUAAUUGAGAUGUCAAAUUAAUCUAGGAGAAGCCCCUCAUGUACCUGCUAACAAGCCAUGGAAGGGAAGAGACAAAUAAUGAUGUUAUCUUGUACAGGAAAAAUUUCUAGGGUCUCAAUAUUAAUUUAGAACGAUGUUAACUUUUUUUUAACAGAAAGCUUUUAGAAUGAAGAAAUAUAGCAGGAACUUAAAAGUCGGUAACAGAAGGUACUGUUGGUACGAGGUACCUAAUAGUGGCACCUCAUAAUAAAAGGUACUGUUGCUUAACAGUAAGUUGGUCUAGCUGCCAUCAUCAUGCUAAUGGAGGCUUGGAACUAGGGUCCUCUGGUCUGCAGUAGGCAGUUUGUCUGGUUUUGCUGCUGAGUUGAGAGUGGCUUUGUGAUGUCAUGGGAAGAACAUGAACCCUGGAGCCAGAUAGCCUGGGUUUUGGUUCUGGAGGCCACUUACCUUGGGCAAGCCAUUCAGCCUUUUUUUUUUUUUUUUUUUUUUUGAGACUGAGUCUUGCUCUGUUGCCAGGCUGGAGUGCAGUGGCAUGAUCUUGGCUCACUGCAACCUCUGCUUCCCAGGUUCAAGUGAUUCUCCGGCAUCAGCCUCCUGAGUAGCUGGGAGUACAGGCACAUGCCACCACACCCAGCGAAUUUUUGUAUUUUUAGUAGAGACGGGGUUUCACCAUGUUCUCUAGGAUGGUCUUGAUCUCUUGACUUCUUGAUUCAACCGCCUCGGCUUCCAAAAGUGUUGGGAUUACAGGCGUGAGCCACCACACCCAGCCUCAGCCUUCUUUGUCUAGCCAAAGCCUGAUUUGCUACCUACCAUGAAACCUGGCUGGAUUUAUUUCGUUAUGAUGCGUAGAGUUGCUCGUGUCAGUGAAGAGGCGUAGCAGGUAUAUCUGCCCCAAGUGAUGCUCAUUUGGAGAGACUGGCAGUACUGAAGGUGAAAUUAGAAAAUAUGUGCAUAUUCUUAUUAAAACGAAUUAUCCAAAAUAAUUAAUUUAUCAUACGUAAAAUGCGGGAGAAAAUGUGAUUUUUAAUCAACUAAGGUGGUUGAGUAUUAAUAAAAAGAGGUGAAGGUGUGACUGCUUGUUCAAUGGAAAUAAAACCCUCAGAUCUGUAAUUGGGAAAAGCAAUUUCUGGUUCUUACUUGACUUCAUUUUUUUAAUAACCUGGACUCAGAUAAAAUGCAUAGGUAAUAAUGAAAUAACAUUUUGAUUCUACUAUGGUUUUCAAUAAACGAUGUAAUAUAUUCCAGCAGGUUAACAAAACAUCGUAUGAUUCAGGAAAUGCUACCGCUUUGGCCUAUAAGAAUUCGUUUCUUUUUCUUCUUUUUUUUUUGGAAAGUAUUAGAACAACAUGGCAGAAAUAUCCCAGUCUUGAUUAGAACUUUGGGGACAGAGAAUAUGUUUAAAUAAGGGAAAGUUGAGGCAUAUUCUACUUAUGAAUGAAGUAUACACUUUACUCCUAUUUUUUCUGGAUUUUCAGCAAAGGUAAGCUUCUGGUUUGGUUUGCAGAGUGCAGGAGAGCCUACAGGCUGGAGAGAAAAGGAGGAGUCUUGUAUUUGUUUCUUUCAGCAAAAGGUCGCUCAGCUCCUGUAUUUCUCCCUGUAGGUGGCUGAAGUUUACAUUGAAGGGUGAUUUCCUGAUUGCCGAUUAGCAUAUGCGUCAGGCUACCAGCCACCUAACUGGCUGAGGAUGCUCUUGGUUUGUUCAAGGGUGAACAUUCUCCCCCUGCCUUGCAGCAAGAAGGGAGCGAGGUGCACCAGGGAGGCACGUGGCAGUGCCCUAUAAAGCCAGUAGAAGAAAUCUUGUAAAGUGUGAAUGCACAGGCUUAGAUUCUCCUGCCCUUGAGUCGGGGGCAUGUGCUUGCAGAGAAUGACCCUGUCAAGUUCAAGGAAUGGCAUCUCCUGAUCCAGCAACAGGACUUGUUCCAGAGAAGAAUCCCCAGGUCUUGGGGACUGUUGACAGAUGGCGGUGACUAUGCUUGGUGUGGUCACUGAACUGAGAAUGGUCCCUCUCAUCUUUGAGUAUGCAAUUACCUUUCUGGCUGAUUGUGACACCCUCAAAUCGUAAGGUGGAUGAGUCCACUGCCCAUGCUGAGAGCUGGUACUUCUGCCUUUAUAGACUCACUCACCUACCAGAGAUGUAGGGGGGACCCCAAACGGUCAGUCAAACAUGUUAACUUGCGCUAAGACAAGACCCAGCAUCAGCGACACUAGACACAACAUAGAAAUCAGAGAAAAGUUACUGUCCAGCAGUUUUAACCACCAAUACCCAUUUAUUUUAAUGGAAAAAAAUUCUGCAUUCUAUAUGUUCCAAAAAGAUUUACUAUUGAAACAAACACAAUAUAUGGAAACUCUA